AUUGAACGCUGGCGGCAUGCCUUACACAUGCAAGUCGAACGGCAGCGCGGGGCAACCUGGCGGCGAGUGGCGAACGGGUGAGUAAUAUAUCGGAACGUACCCUGGAGUGGGGGAUAACGUAGCGAAAGUUACGCUAAUACCGCAUACGAUCUAAGGAUGAAAGCAGGGGACCGCAAGGCCUUGUGCUCCUGGAGCGGCCGAUAUCUGAUUAGCUAGUUGGUGGGGUAAAGGCCUACCAAGGCAUCGAUCAGUAGCUGGUCUGAGAGGACGACCAGCCACACUGGAACUGAGACACGGUCCAGACUCCUACGGGAGGCAGCAGUGGGGAAUUUUGGACAAUGGGCGCAAGCCUGAUCCAGCAAUGCCGCGUGAGUGAAGAAGGCCUUCGGGUUGUAAAGCUCUUUUGUCAGGGAAGAAACGGUGGGAGCUAAUAUCUCUUGCUAAUGACGGUACCUGAAGAAUAAGCACCGGCUAACUACGUGC
rnacentral:rRNA from 1 species